rnacentral:rRNA from 1 species
AUUGAACGCUGGCGGAAUGCUUUACACAUGCAAGUCGAACGGUAGAGGGGGCAACCCCUCGAGAGUGGCGAACGGGUGAGUAAUAUAUCGGAACGUGCCCAGUCGUGGGGGAUAACGUAGCGAAAGUUACGCUAAUACCGCAUACGAUCUAAGGAUGAAAGCGGGGGAUCGCAAGACCUCGCGCGAUCGGAGCGGCCGAUAUCAGAUUAGGUAGUUGGUGGGGUAAAGGCUCACCAAGCCAACGAUCUGUAGCUGGUCUGAGAGGACGACCAGCCAAACUGGAAAUGAGCCACGGUCCAGACUCCUACGGGAGUCAGCAGUGGGGAAUUUUGGACAAUGGACGCAAGUCUGAUCCAGCCAUUCCGCGUGCAGGAUGAAGGCCCUCGGGUUGUAAACUGCUUUUGUACGGAACGAAAAGGUCUCUCUUAAUACGGGGGGCUCAUGACGGUACCGUAAGAAUAAGCACCGGCUAACUACGUGCCAGCCGCCGCGGUAA